AUUUGAAUUUUGAAUUUACAGUGAAAAGUGGAAACAAAAGAAAGCGCGCGUCGUCUCCUUCUUCAUUUUUUUCAUUCCUCCAUUUUCUUCUAUUUUUUGUUCUUUUUGUUUCCCAUUCUCUGCUUUAAUUUCUUCAUCUCAAUUUAACCAACUUCAACAAGAAUUGAAAUCCUUACACAACCCUCCUCCAAAGAUCCCCUAAAAAAAAAAAAACCCUCCAUGUUAAAUACUUUUCGGCACGCAGCGGCGUCGCCGGAGAUAGUAUUCGCUGCGGACUUCACGUCGUUGAAAACGCGCAACCUCAGCUUCUCAUUGGCAGCGAAAAGGGCGUCGAGCGCGACGCUGUAGUAGUUCGAGCAAAAGCUGUAAACCACCUUCAGAUUUAGAUCGCUGGUUUGGGAGAGAAGGAAUUGGAUUUUGGAGCUUGUUCUUGCGGCGCUCGUCGUCGUCGCGUCGAUCUUGUAGGGCAUACAAGCACAUUGUUCUUGUGCACUACAGAGAUAUUCGUGUGGUAAGUCUUCUUGUGUUUAAGCAUAUGCGUAGCUGAGAUGUUUGCGAUGUUUGCUGCUACAAUGUUUGCGAUGUCUGCUGCUAGUAUUUUCAAUGAUGAUGAGGUGAAAAACUUUGUAUGUUGGAUUAAUUUUGUAUGUUGUUUGUUUGUGAAAUCAUAGUUUUGGCUAAAUUGAGCAGGAGGGAGAGCCAUCGUGCCAGAUUAUCAGUCCCAUGUCCUUUACUGCAGGCAGUUGGUUAUCAGAUUAGGCAAGAUGCUUGCAAUGGUGACACGAAAGUGCCGAUCAAUGCACAGGAGAUUACCACUAUACAAUACUCUCUUUAUGCUGCUUUGUCUUGGUUACUUUUGUCUAUUAAUACAGCAACAGGCCGAGUCUCACUUCAACUGCCUGAGAAUGCGAAGAAGAUAUUGAAAGCUAUUGGUGAGAUCUUAAAAGGAAACUCGAGUAGCGUCAAUCUGAUGAAAACCCCCUAGAUUUUUUUUUUCAAAUUCUGUACGUAUAGUUUUUGGAAUAGAGGGUUCCAUGGUGCUAUAUUAUCAUACCGUUAAUGUGAGAGUUUGAUGUGUUUUGUAUAUUCUCGGGGAUUUUGAUGAGUUUCAAGUUUAAAGAAUAUUUAAUGUUCGGUUACCAAAUUUA